AGAAAAGUAAUGGGGGGACCCCCACUCAUCUUCACUUACCUAGCCAUCUUGGGAGAUUAUGUUUUGUAUUAAGUUACUUGUUGACCUGAGUUCACCCGUGCCGACUAGGUUGGUCAGACAUGAAAUAUGCUGACCCAAACUAGAUUAGUCAUUACAUCAGAUGUAUGUGACUAACUAGAAGAGACCUAAACUUAAAUCUUCUUAUUAAAUAUUAAGUCUACUGGUCUUUUACUGU
rnacentral:lncRNA from 1 species